GAUGAACGCUGGCGGCGUGCCUAAUACAUGCAAGUCGAGCGAGCGGCGGACGGGUGAGUAAUGUCUGGGAAACUGCCUGAUGGAGGGGGAUAACUACUGGAAACGGUAGCUAAUACCGCAUACUCUCAGAUGUGCCCAGAUGGGAUUAGCUAGUAGGUGGGGUAAUGGCUCACCUAGGCGACGCGCCCUAGCUGGGCUGAGAGGAUGACCAGCCAAACGGGGACUGAGACACGGUCCAGACUCCUACGGGAGGCAGCAGUGGGGAAUAUUGCACAAUGGGCGCAAGCCUGAUGCAGCCAUGCCGCGGGUGUGAAGAAGGCCUUAGGGUUGUAAAGCACUUUCAGCGAGGAGGCGUUACUCGCAGAAGAAGCACCGGCUAACGCCGUGCCAGCCGCCGCGGUAAUAC
rnacentral:rRNA from 1 species